rnacentral:rRNA from 1 species
UACAGAGAGGGCAAGCGUUGUCCGGAAUGACUGGGCGUAAAGCGCGCGCAGGCGGUUUUUUAAGUUGGAUGUGAAAUCCCCGGGCUCAACCUGGGAACUGCAUUCGAUACUGGAAAACUAGAGGCCGAGAGAGGAAAGCGGAAUGACGAGUGUAGAGGUGAAAUUCGUAGAUAUUCGUCGGAACACCAGAGGCGAAGGCGGCUUUCUGGCUCGGACCUGACGCUCAGGCGCGAAAGCGUGGGGAGCAAACAGG